UGGUGGGACUUUUCAGGGAAUGUUGACAGUCCUGCACACAGCUCCAAACUGGCUUAACUAAAGGAUAAGAGGGAAGCUGCGAAUGUUGUCUUGAAGCUUUCUGGCUACUUAUACAGCAAGCCAUCGUGCUCAAAGUUAUUUUUUUUCCCUUUUGCAUCUAGUCAAAGUUUUUCUUUUUUAGAUCAUUUUUAUUUUCAAAAAUACAGAGGAAAUCCACAAACAUAAGGCAGUAAAAGAUUAGUACACACAGCAAAGAUUAAAUUUGUCUGGUCUUGUUUACCAGACGUGACAUUUGUGCCUUCUUUUCUAACACACCUUCUGGAAUAAAGAACUGAGUGUACUAUCCAUUCCACAAGAGUGUAUAUCAGAAAUGUUCCACUCCACAAGAUCAACAACGGGAUUUUGUGCAGCCCAGCUAUUUGACUGAACACACAGCUCUGCGGCAAAAUAAAUUCAAAACAAGGAAUGCAAGAACAGGAAACUGGAAUCCUGGAAUGGAAAUGGACAGGGAAGUAUUUCAAGACAAACACUCACUCUGAUGUGAAGGUUGCCACUGAUUAAUACCGAAGAGAGGUUAACGCAAGUAUUCUCCCACAUUUUCCAGUGCAUUUUUAUCGCAAAAAGUCCAGUAUAUUGUAAAAGCAGGUUUGUUGUGUAAGACCUCCCAAGCAACCAUAAUUUCAAAACCUGAAUUUGCCAGCAUGUGAUUGAAUCCCACCCCCAAACAGCAACUAUCUGGAAGUUCCCUUCUCGGCUGAACAUUGCCACUGGUUUAUUAUUGUUCUGGGUCGUUUGUAGAGGUUAUAUUGCAUGUAAUGUUUUGUAUCGCUGAUGGCGUUGCCCAGUUGGUGCUAACAAGGUCUUCUUGGUGGUGGUUCCCAGUUUGUGGAAUGCCUUCCCCGAGGUCAGCAACACCUGACAGGAUUAACUAUCCAACUGAGACUGAUGGAAGUGGCUUUAAUGACUGAACAUCUGAAAUGUACAAAUUUCUCUUGCUGGGAUUAUCAAAGAAGCAAACAAUUUAUUGAGUAAUUGGAGAAAGCUGUAGGUAAGAACAUGAGAAAAGCUUGGCUGAAUAAGGCUAAAGGCGCAUCUAAUCCAGCAAGAUGUAAGAGGAUUGAAGACCUCCAUAGAUGUUAGGCAAAUGAAUGUUUAUUAUUCAGUGCCUUGUUGAAAGAAGUCAUCUACAAAAUUGUGAGUAGGUGGUUUGUCCCCUUCAUACAACUCGAGGAUAUGUGGAAAGUAGGAAUCAGAUGUGCUGAAAGGGAAAUGGUAAAGAGGGCAUAUUAAUGCUUGUUUGGUGCUCAUGAGUUUGGGGAACAGAUAAGAGAUUAAAAAAGGAAAUCACAUACAUGCUUUUUCACUCAAUCCUUGCUAAUACUGCAAAAUGUCAGAUGGAAAGACCUUGUGUUACUUAACAGUACAACCCCAUGCAUGUCUUUUUAAAGGGAAUUCCUAUUGAAUUAACUGAGACUUACUCUCAAAUAAGUUGGGGUAGAAUUGCAGCUUUAGCCACAAACACUUGAUAAUCAGUUUGUGGCUUGCUGCUGUCAUUACCCACAGUGACCAGGAUACUGAAUCAGAAGCUACAGGCCAUUGACUGAGGUGCUGGACCAGAAUCCUGGCUUUGAAUCUGAUACUGGUGGGACCCACUGAAGCUGAGGCAGGUAAACAGGAGACUGCUGAAUUAGAUGCCACAGCACUAGGGCCUGCAGAGUCUGAGCCAGGAAAAUGUCAGAUGUCUUGCCAACUCCUGAGGAACUAAGUGCCUCUCACAGUACCCUGCUGAUCCAAUGGCCUACAGAAUGCACCAGGAAAGACGCCAUGGAACAAAGGUGAUGCACCCAUCUUUAAGCCAGAUCAGUGGUCCUUUAAGAAGUGUCCUUGUCCACCAAAGGGGGAACAGCAUAGGAGAGGUGGACUGGAAGCAGAGGCUCAAAAGUUCUCAGUUCACCUCUAGCCCUCCUCAGAGGAAGUUGUUCACUUAGAGCUCCCAUAGUGCUGAAUCCACCAACCUGCCUUCCUGUACCCCAUGAGCAGCACCUCAGGACCAGGACAGAGCAGUGGCCAAGCUAUGUGUGGCUCAAAAAGAGAACGGUGCAUAGGCACCCACAAGGGGGAAGUAAUAUUGGUGGCAGUAGUGGGAGGUAGGGCAGUGAAAGUGUUAUGUGCCUGGCUUCCAGACAACAAGUGUCACUGCCACUUAUUAAGAGGGAGAAGGGAAGAUAUUAGGCGUGAUGCAGGUGCCAUGGCAGGAGCGUUGGAUUGGCUCUGCCAGCACACCCACAACACUUCUCGCUCCUCAUGCCGCUCUGGCCACACCUCACCCCCUCCCUUUCAGUAAGCAGCAGCGAUGUUCAGCAUCCAGAGUCCAGGUACGCAACACUGCCCUACCUUUGCCAUCCCACCAACUGCUACUGGUUGGUGUGUUUGUUUGUUUAAUUCUGGCGUUUAUAAGGCCACCUUUGAAAGCCCUCCCAAUGGGAACUUGUAUGCCUGAUUAAAACAUAAAACACAAUUAAAAUAAUCUUACUGUAAUUACAAAACUAAAAUAGCAGUUUGAAAAACACCACACAGGUCAGCACAGCAAGCCAGAUAAAACAGAUGUAAGUGGUUAUGAAAAAAAAAAUAGAAACAGUUUAUACAAUUAAAUGCACAGCCCAACAUCUUAGCUAGGUACAAACUGAAACUUUGCUUGAAUUCAAGGCUCAUUUAAGAACUAACCAAGAUGGACCCAAAAGUAUAUCCCCUGGGAGGAAGUUAUACAAAUAUGAGGCCAUCACCAAAAAGCCCUUGUAUCUGGCACUUGCCAAUCUGAUGGAUUUAAUGUUGGGGAUGGGGAGAAAUUAAUCUUGGUUGCAGUUUAAUGUGAAUCUACGUAAUUCGCAUUUCCUGAAGUAAUCAACAAAUUGCAUUGCAGCUAAUCCUUUGAAAUCCACACAGCUCUGAACUUUAUGAUGUGAUUCUCCAACAAAAAUGUGUACAGAAAUGUGUAUAUUGGAGGCAAGUGUGCAAAAACUUCAUUUAUUAGUGAAAAUAACAUACAAACGUUCAUUUUACUCAGGAAAAUUGCUUACAUAAAUGUGUAUAUUAGGAAAAAUUUAAUACAAAAUAUGCAUACUAUGAGAAGUGAAGAAAAAUACUGACAAAUGUUUGUGAUGGUUUUUUUUUUAAAAAAAAACAACCCUCAAACUUAUGUGGAAAUGUGAUGAACUAAAUUUAAAACUGGUGAAAUGAGAAACAGAGACAAACUGAAAUUGACAGAUUUGCCCAUCCCUAGUUAAUGUGCAUAAUCAGAAGAAACACUAUUUCUUAAGGAACCAGGAGACUUUUUCUAAGCUAUAUGGAUAAUCAAAAACAAACAAGAAGAAAACCAGACAAAUGCAGGUCACUCUAUAUCUUGUAAGAUUAAAACUGAAAUCCAAACUCCCGACCUGCCAUGCUGGGCGGUAGUGGUGGAUGGAGAAGAGGUCUUCCUUUGCCCAGCUCAAAACAGCUCCACCAGCCUCUGACCUCGAAGGGACACCAGCAUCACUCCUCUAGUGCAGAGCUCCCUAUUCUGCCUACCAAAAGUGUGUUGGAAUAGGCUAAUGUUGCAUGGUCACUUUAAGGGAUAUUUGGGAAUAUCCCAUGUACCUGUUUACCAUGAUGUAACUUCCUAAUGGGUGGGGUUUAGUUACCUGACUUCCUUUUCCUUUGUCCUGGGGGAUUUUUGAAUAUUCUCCCUUUCCUGCUGAUCUUCCCACCUUUGAGAGAGGCCACAUGGCAAGAUGCUCUCUCUCUGAGAGCAUCCAUUACAAACACCAAAAUGGACUGAGACUAUUUCUUUCUUCCAAGCUAAAGCCCAUGUUCUUCUAAACAUAUGAGGUUGCGAGUAAACAUUCUUUUUCUUUUA